CCAAAGGGCGCUGCUAUAAUGCAGUCGAGCGAAUGGAUUAAGAGCUUGCUCUUAUGAAGUUAGCGGCGGACGGGUGAGUAACACGUGGGUAACCUGCCCAUAAGACUGGGAUAACUCCGGGAAACCGGGGCUAAUACCGGAUAACAUUUUGAACCGCAUGGUUCGAAAUUGAAAGGCGGCUUCGGCUGUCACUUAUGGAUGGACCCGCGUCGCAUUAGCUAGUUGGUGAGGUAACGGCUCACCAAGGCAACGAUGCGUAGCCGACCUGAGAGGGUGAUCGGCCACACUGGGACUGAGACACGGCCCAGACUCCUACGGGAGGCAGCAGUAGGGAAUCUUCCGCAAUGGACGAAAGUCUGACGGAGCAACGCCGCGUGAGUGAUGAAGGCUUUCGGGUCGUAAAACUCUGUUGUUAGGGAAGAACAAGUGCUAGUUGAAUAAGCUGGCACCUUGACGGUACCUAACCAGAAAGCCACGGCUAACUACGUGCCAGCAGCCGCGGUAAUACGUAGGUGGCAAGCGUUAUCCGGAAUUAUUGGGCGUAAAGCGCGCGCAGGUGGUUUCUUUAAGUCUGAUGUGAAAGUCCCACGGCUCAACCGUGGAGGGUCAUUGGAAACUGGGGAGACUUGAGUGCAGAAGAGGAAAGUGGAAUUCCAUGUGUAGCGGGUGAAAAUGCGUAGAGAUAUGGGGGACACCCAGUGGGCGGAGGCGCUUUUUUGUUUAGUAACUGACACUGAGGCGGCGAAGCGGUGGGGAGCAAACCAGGAUUUGAGUACCCUGGUAGUCCCACCCGUAAACGAAUGAGUGCUAAGGGUUUGGAGGUUUCCCGCCUUUAGUGGUGGAGGUAAAGCCUUAAACACUCCGCCCUGGGGAGUUCGGCCGCAAGGGAGAAAUCAAAGGAAAUACGGGGGCCCGCACCAGGGGGGGAACAAGUGGUUUAAUUUGGAACAACGGGGAGGACCUUUCCCGGUUCUGGCAUCCUUUGGCCACCCUAGAGGUUGGGGUUUUUCUUUGGGAGCCGGAUGAACAGUGGGGCAAGGUUGUUCUUAGCUCGGGUUGUGAGAUGGUGGGGUAAGUCCCGCAACGAGGGCAACCCUUGAUUUUUGUUGCCCUCCAUUAGGUGGGCCCUUUAAGGGGGAUGCCGGGGGCAAACCGGGGGAAGGGGGGGGAGGCGUCAAAUUAUCCUUCCCCUUUUGGCCUGGGGUUCCCACGUGGUACCAAUGACGGUACAAAGGAGUGCCAGGCCGCGGAGGGGAGGUUAUUUUAUUAAAACCCUUUUCAAUUUGGGAUGUAGGGUGCAAAUUGCCUACCUGAAGGUGGAAUUGGUUGUAAUUGCGGAUCAGCAUGCCGCGGUGAAUACGUUCCCGGGCCUUGUACACACCGCCCGUCACCCCCCGAGAGUUUGUAACACCCGAAGUCGGUGGGGUAACCUUUUGGAGCCAGCCGCUAAGGGACAGAUUU
rnacentral:rRNA from 1 species